AUCUUUUUUUUUUUUUUUGGUUAUUAAAAAAAUACUAAGUCAUAAAGAUAUUUUUAUGAUGGGUCUCAUUCAUUUUUUUAUUCUUUCUAACCAAAAUACAAACAUUUUAGUUUAUCCAUCAUCCCCCUGCUUAUGCACUAACAUACAAUAAGAUCAACAUAGGCCUGCUUCCUUUCUUUUAUGCAUAUAGCUUUUAUUGUAUAUGUUUCACAAUAUUUCUAAAGUUUUCCUUUAUAUAGUCAUGCAUAUUUCUCAUUAGGCUUUUUAAAAAUGCUUUAUGGUUUUUAUACACUUGUGAGUGAGGUUUUUUAAUAUUGUUUAUAAAAAACUUUUUUUUUUGAUACUGAAAUUGAACCCUGAAGCUUUUUGCCACUGAGCUAUAUCCCCAGUCCUUUUUAUUUUUUAUUUUGAGACAAGGCCUCACUACAUUGCUUAGUCUGCUCUUUAGCUUGUGAUCCUACUGCCUCAGCCUCCUGAGUUGUUGAGAUGCACCACCAUACAGGUGAAAGCUAUUAAUUUUGCUUAUUUACUUUUUUUUUUCCUGUUCCUUUACUGCACACUGAUUCUUGUAGGUAUAUAUAUAUAUUGUAAAAACAUAAUCUGCAAAAUAUUUGUAUAUAUGCUUUGUAUCAAUCAACAUCUAAUCACAAAUACAGUUUCCCCUUCAGUUAUUUCAGAUAAUUUAACACACAUAAAAAAAUUGGUUACAAAUACAUUGGAAGAGUUAACUAUGAGCAAAAUGGGAACAUGUGAGAUUACCCAAGAUUAAUAAGGAAACUGUUCCCCGUCUUCAGGUUGGAAGAAUAAAAGAAAAUAUAGUUUUCCCCAGGGACAGCCAUUUCUGACCCUCUGAGGUGGCUGUUGGGACAUUUGCCGUCAUAAGACAGGAAGCUAGGAGCCAGUGCCCCGGCUGACUACGUACGGAUGUCUAAGGUUAGCAAUGGCCAGAGGAACAAGGACCCACAAGCUCUCAACAGCUGAGGUUCCUGGAGCUGCUGCUGCUGGUACUGCUGCGGCAGCCAGAACUGAGUGAAGCUGCAAUGGCCACUGUCAGAAUCCACUCCUGAGCAGGCAGCCAGACUCUCCCAGUGCCACUGCGACUGCAGUUGUCUGAGCUGCCUGUUCUGAGAGGCAAAGGUGCCUCUGUUUCUCCCACAUUCCAGCAUCCUACCACCACCUCUUGUAGGCAGAACCUAAGAGCUGGUAGAGUCUGGGAAACGAGUUUGGAGACCUUCAGUUCUCUGUAUUACAGAAAGGAAGAGGGGUGGAGGAUAAAGCCGGAACUAACCCUAGCACAUUGUGGAAUAAUAGCUGUGAUCAUAGUUGUCCUCUUUCUGAUAUUAAUGAAAGUGCUUUUACUGGAGUGGAAUCUCUUGCAAGGUUAAGUUUCUAUUUCCAGCUUUUGAACAGCUUUGAUAGGAAAUACUGUUUUACUGUAUCCACUUUUUCCUGCCAGUACAUUAAUAAAAUUCCUAAUGCUGAACCAU
rnacentral:lncRNA from 1 species